AUACUUAACUGUCCAACCUCUAUAUCGGCCCUACAAACAGCAAAAUCAAGUUAAAUUUCUGGGUCGUCGAUCCAAGCAAGCUCAAAUGAAAGUUGAAAAAAUGAGAAAAGUUUAUUUGGCUAAAGAAAAAAAUACUUCUGAGGUGACUGAACCAAAAACGGGCCCAUCAGGUACAAAGGAUAACUAUCAUCUCCACUCCAUCUUUUGACAUUGUGAAAACUAAGGAAUCUAUGUCAGAGUGUCAGCUGGGAAAAGAAAAAAGGACUCAUUUUCCUGGUAUCAAAACUUGGCAGCUGGUGAUUCUCCAUCAUGAUAAUGAACAGUUAAUUGACAGAAAACCAAAGUUGUUUAACAAUCUGCUUGUCU
rnacentral:lncRNA from 1 species